rnacentral:rRNA from 1 species
GACAGAGGGUGCCAAGCGUUAGGCGGAAUCGACUGGGCUUAAAGGCGUGAUGUAGGCGGGCGGUAUCAAGUACCAUUGUGAAAUCCCACGGCUCAACCGUGGAACUGCUGGGUAUACUGGUUGUCUUGAGCCAGCUAGGGGCGAGCGGAACAGACGGUGGAGCGGAUGAAUGCGUAGAUAUCGUCUGGAACGCCGAAGGUGAAAACAGCUCGCUGGGCUGCGCUGACGCUGAGACACGGAAGCCAGGGAGCGAACGGG